UAUCGGGCCCAUACCCCGAAAAUGUUGGUCC
rnacentral:tRNA from 1 species